rnacentral:rRNA from 1 species
GACGUAGGGGGCCAGCGUUGUUCGGAAUUACUGGGUGUAAAGGGUUCGUAGGCGGUGCGGCAAGUUGGGAGUGAAAUCUCUGGGCUUAACCCAGAGGCUGCUUCCAAAACUGCUGUGCUUGAGUGUGGGAGAGGCGCGUGGAAUUGCAGGUGUAGCGGUGAAAUGCGUAGAUAUCUGCAGGAACACCCGUGGCGAAAGCGGCGCGCUGGACCACUACUGACGCUGAUGCGCGAAAGCGUGGGGAGCAAACGGG